UAACCAUUUAACUUUUUUAUGAUAGUCAAAACUGUUCAAAAUUCAUGAAAAUAACUAAAUGUAACUUAGAGUUUAAUACAAAGCCACAAAAUUACUCAUCUAUUUUAAUAUCAGGUGCUGUUACUGUAAAUAGGACGUUUUCAUCUGACUCAGGCAAUGAACCUCGUCCCACGCGCUGCACUACCCUAAAUAUCAUUAUCGUACAGAAUUUAUGAAAGCGAGCAUCCUUGAUGACGUCACCUAAUUUCUCCGGGCGUUUCUUCGGCCUUGAUGCGAGAUGCACGUGGCGGCCAGGAUCCGCAGACGUUUCCCCUUGCUUGGUAUGCUGGGCGGCGCUCAAGGCCAGGCGGUGCUGUGCGACGCAUAUUGAUCGCGUGCCCUGGUACUCUGCUACCUUCGUAACUUUAAUUUCUACCAAGAAUCGACCACAUUAAUACGAAUGUAGGAACAAGUUGCUCGUGGAAUGCGCAGGCGUAACUGACCUUUUGAAGCGGAGUGCCGACUGCAACACAAUCGGCGAUUACCGGAACACUUCUGCAGAAGUAUGAACAUGUGUAAUCACCGUGAUUAUGAACCUGGUGAUUGGCAGUCCACAAGGCAACCGUGACAUGCGAAAAUCAACCUUAAGUCCACGAAUGAACGCUUUAGUUUGAAUUGUGUGUCAAAUGUUUUAGUACUCGUAUUAAUACAGUGAUUUUAAACAGUUAUGAUAAUAUAGGAAGGUUAGUGUUGUUAUAAUUAGGUACGGCAUAAAUCUGGCUUGUUAGCGUUCCUUGUUUUGUUAUUAUGAUUCGAUAUUAAGGUGUCAAGAGGUAGUUAGAAAUAUUAUGGGCUAGUUACAUGUCUGGUGAUACACAGAAAAGGCGGGUUGGUAUUCAAAUAUGUGUGAAAUAAGUUACAUUCGAGACGAAUCAGGAGUUAGCAUUCAUGCUAUAGACGCGGUGUAAGAAAUUAUAUUCUUAGUAAAUAUAUAAUUCUAUAUUAGCAGUGUCAGUCACUUAAAGCAAAUAUGGCUGAUAUAUGCAACAAUCAUGUAACCUAAGACUGUUGAGUUUGUUAGUAUUUGGUAGUUUCGAAAGCUUGGGCUGAUUGGGCAUGUAAAUAUUUUAAGCUGCUUUUAUUUUAAGUAACUGAGAUCGACAGUAUCGGAUCAUCACAGCUAUCUGGAUAACAGUUAAUGAAAAUUUUAAUCAGAUCUGAAGAGAUUGAUAUCUUUCAACCACGACCUUAUUCUCAACCAAAAGCCUCAUAAACUUGAUAACCAUCUGUCGAUACCGUUCGUUCUGGCACCUGACAGUACCCGUCCCUUGAGAUGACCAGAUCAAUAGCUGUCGACCAUAACCUAGGCUCACUCGGGAACGUGCGGCACUUUCCCUGCGAUCGACAGCGACCAGAUAACAUCUCCCAUCUUCAUUGAUAACUGGCUGCGGCAUAGAGAAGGUGACGCAGAUGUGUGGGUAGGCAGAAAUAGAUUGUAGGUAUUUACGAGUAAAAUGAUAAACCUACUUUAGGUGCAUGUAUUUUUUAAACAUGUCUGUAUACUACUUAAUUACAUUACAACGCCAUUACCAGUAGGGAGGUAGCAUUUGAGUGUUUAGAUAUUUGGUAACCCUAAUUUGGUGAUGGUUAAAGGCCAUAAAACAGACCUAUUUGUUUAUCACCGGCUUUUAUGUCAAAAACAGUUUUUACAUUCGAAAUUUUCAAUAAUCGUCAUCAAACUAAUCCAGUAAAAUCUCAAUACUUAGCAGUAUACAGCCAAACUUUAUACAAGUCCGAUCUACGUUAUAAUCUUUGCGCAGUAAACCGCGACCGCUUUCCACGCUGUGCGCUGCGCUCGCGCCGGCCGACAUAACGGCGCGACUGCCGACGACGCGCGCACGUACUUCGACGCUGCGCCCGCGACGCGACGUGAGUGAAACACGCGUGUGAACACAUACUUACGAUUCUGUGACUGUGCCUGUGUUAUCUCCCAGAUUUCUGAUCAUAAAGGUUAUAACUAAUUAGUGCCUGUACAGUAAGCAGCUAUUAUUAAUACAAAGGUAAGCUUUUACAAUUUCGCGUGCUAUUUGAAAUGAUUCCGCGUCUUUGAUGCUGCAGGAAUUGUUCUGCGGAAUGUUAUUAAGUAUUAUUGACUUUCUAAUUGUGUUUAAAUAUGUUGAUUUAUACAUUUUCUGAAUUAUUCACAACGCGUUAACAUAGCCCCGUUUUGUUUUCUAUUUUGCUUAG